CCUCGGUCCACUGGGCCAAUCAGGAAGCGUCUGUUGUGGGUGUAACGCGUCUGUCGACGUAUCCUAUAUUAUGAUAGGUUUACCAAGCUGCUUGUUAAACGGAACGCCUUUAUUUUGAGGAAGUUUUAGGACCUCGUCAAGAUAUUGAAAUGACAACAGGUAUUGUAGAUAGCGUAGGAUGUGAAAGCGGAUCUAUUUAAAACCAAAUGAGAAAGCUGUGUAAUUGUUGACAAAUAAACAAGCGUCGCCUCAUUGGCUGCUUCGUUGGGAAAGACAGAAAGUGGAGGCGGUGUUGUUGGUGUCGUUUGAUGGUUCCUUCUACCCAACCUAAAGCUUCUGUACUCACAGGGAGUCCUGGUGGAACAGAUGAGUAAUGUCUUUAUCACCAAGACCUUCCCCAUCCAUUACAGCCUGGUGACAGGUCUGUAUGCAGAGUCUCAUGGUGUCGUAGCUAGCAAUAUGUUUGACUCCGCAACCGAGAAGCACUUCGCCACCUUCAACGACACCGACCCCCUUCUGGUGGACGAAGCCGCGGCACUCUGGGUACAAGACGGGCGUGGCCAUGUGGCCGUGGUCAGACUUGGGGAUCAAGAACAGAACGGCGACUCACUUCAUACCCUACAACCCCUCUGUGACUUUUAGUCAACGCCUGGCCAACGUCACUCACUGGCUGACUGGGGUACUUAACCUCUGACCCCCUCGUCCGUAACUCCAUUGUUUUCACUGAAUACUGCUUUUAAGUUUUGCCUCCAUUCCUCUGGAGGGGAGGAGACAGUGUUGUUUGCAGCUCUGUACUGGGAGGAGCCAGACAGGACAGGUCAUAUGUAUGGACCAGAAAACACCACCCACAUAGGACAGGCUCUUAAAGAGGUGUGUGUCUAACACAUUGGGCUUGUUUGAGUGGUAAGGCUGAAGCAAUUGACUGCAGACAAGUCGAGGAGUGAAGUUGGAGAAGGUGCAUCUGCGACAGCCUAAAAUCAGACACUGAUGUGGUUUUCCAACAGCAAGGCUCAGUGCAACAUGGCACACAGCCUUGCUUUUCUUUGGAAUGUCGAAAUAAACUCCCCCAUAUCACACACUCACAAACUGUAAAUAUGUGUGACAUUGUACUAUCAAUUGGUGAGCGAGAGACUCAAAUAUCACAUUAAUUUGUACAUAUCCACACUGUAUACAAUCACGUCAAAGUUCGUUUCAGUCACGUCUUUGGUCACGUUCGCUUGGGUCAAACAGAAACACUAAUGAUUGGUUGACAAUAGAGCCUCCCACAAUGCAGGGUGAUGCUGCAGGGUGAAGUUGGGGAAGAGCAACUUCAGAAACUGGAGCCGGCUGCCACCGGCGCCAAACAACGGAUCUCUGUCCCAGGCACGCUGCUUCCUGGCUGGGGAGGGCUGUGUCGACGUCCCCCUAAUGGUGGGACUGGUGGUGGGGGUACUGCUGGUUCUCACCACACUCACGGGUCUGUUCACGGUACAGGAUGAUGAUGCUGACCCUCUGCUAGACUAAAGCAAUCAAUCACAGCUCCCAGCCCGACUAUACUGACCAACCACAGAUCAUAACAACAAACCAAAGCUCACCACCAUGCUCCCAACAACCAAUCAGAACUCCGACAGGAAUAAAUAGAGAAUAGUGUCAUUUCAGACACAGCCAUACUCUUUUCCAAGAGUUACAGAGCGGUAGUCAGAUUUCAGAUUUACACACUCCUCAUUCUCUGUGGUACAAUACUUACAGUAUGGAGUAUUCAAAUAAAUAUGUACACUAUAAAUAAACAUAUUGAGCCAUAAAUAGAUAAAACUAAAGAAAUAAGACACUAAAGAGAAGUCAGUUAGUAGAAACAGACUGAGGUUACUUGAAUUUGUCUGUAUACAGAGAAGCCAUCUAAUAUGAUAUAACACGUGUUAUAUAUUUGAAGAAAUGCUCUGUUAAUUUAUUUGCAAGACAAUCCUAAAAAGAAGAAUACAUGUUUGUUAGGAGAGCUUCUGGUAAAGGGAUGUAAAUGUGUAUUUUGAAGGGUUUAUUUCAUAAAGAGUAGCGCUAUAUUGCAGUAGUAAUUGUCUGAACAGCAGUGAUGGGUUUUGUUAGCUACUCUGUAGACUGCUGAGCCAGGCGGUGGAGUCAGAAACAGGACUGAAGCUAUGUUUCUGCUGUUUGUUACAGCAGAAACGUGUGUGUGUGUGUGUGUGUGUGCUGAGAUAAGCUAUAGCUCUGGUACUGUAUGGUUUCCUGUAGUGUUAAAAGGAGACAGACAAGCUAUACUGUUCGAUUCAGGUCCUUAAUCUGAAAAGAAGUUAUUUGAAGGAAAACAGUUUCAGUUUGUCUGAUUCUCUUGUCAAGCCACUGUGUGUGCUUGUGCCAGUGUGUGUGUGUGUGUGUGUGUGUGUCGGCAGAGAAAGGGUGUGUGCCUGCGUGUGUGUGUAUCGGUGUAGAGAAGUCGAAGAUCUGCUGUUACUAUGGUUACUAUACCAUAGUAACCCUAGUACUAUGAUUAAUAUGCUGUAACUAUGCUGUUAUUAUGGUUACUGUACAGUAACUCUACUGUUACUAUGUCAACCACCUGCCUCCAGGUGGCUACUGAACUGGUCCUCAGGGAGUUUCUGCUCAUAUUGUCAUUGACUGACAUAUGAAAGUAUAAAGUAAACCUAAAUGUU